CUUGUUUCAAAGAAAGUCUGGCGGAGGAGAAAUGCAGAGACAGUGAAGUCCCUACUUUAUCUCAGUAUAUCUCUUGACUGGGUUGGUAUUUUAGUGAAAUUCCAACACAGUCAAAAUGAGUAUUCCGGAGAGGGUGGGGUGACAAUGUCCCCUUCAAUUUGAAAUGUACUUAAUUCCUGAAAUUCUCACGUUAAUGAAUAACUCUGUAAAAUUGCUGAUUUGGAAAAAUUCUGUAAUUCAACUCCAAUCAUCACACCUUAGCUAUUUUAGCAUAGAGCUCACCGUUGGGGUUUCAUGUCACUAUAAUUCACAGUUUAGUGAAUAAUCCCCUCAGUGAAUAAACCCUAGUGACUAAGGCUGAGCAGGGGUCGGAUACUUUAAUUCAAUCUGAUCUAUAAGGACACGAGCUUCCACCUGUACAGAAGGGACUGGGAUACAAAGUAUCUCACUCUAGCCCCGCCCAUUCCCCGCCCCUGUCCUUGUCCCAGAGACUCUGUCCCUUUAACAGCUGCUCCUCCUCCUGAACUUUGACUGAGAGACACCCACAGGAAGAGACAGGCAGGCAGAGAGAGAGAGAGAGACCCAUCUAGGAGGAUACAAAGAGACACCCACAGGAAAAGGCAGACGGGGGAUAAAAAGAGAGAGUAAGAAACAGUAAAACAUACAUUUCCUCAGACAGUGAGACACCCACAGGUAAAGACAGACAGCUGAUUGAGAGACACACAGAAAGAGACAGGUCAUAAAUCAGGGAAUAGAGAUAGAGAGCACCGAGAACAGAGAGAAUCCAACAGAAAAAGACUUGAUUCAGAAUAGAUCAAUGUUAUAAAUAAUUAUAAUAUGCUCAGUAAUGUGAAGACAUAGAGAU